AUAUUUCUUGUAUAUGGAGGCAUUGGUUGGAUGAGCUCCAUAGUUGAAAUAUUUUACCGAUUAUCAAUGGUUUCUUAUAUUUUUUGAAAUACUUUUGCACACAUUUGCAUAUAAUACUUGACAUUUGAUAUUGAGUUGUUUAUUUUAGUUUAUAUAUUCUUUCCAAGUGAUCUUGGAUUGGACAGUUUAUCUAAGCUAUUUUAGUUGUAUAUUUGUAAUAAAAGUGACCAUAAAUAAUGGUUGUUUAGUAUUUUAGAUUAAUAUUUAGUAUAUUAGAUUAAUAUUUUGCUGAAUCCAGAUCUUCCAAUUGCUGUUUGAUAUCUUCAUUGAUUGCCUUUUUAUAGAUUGACGUGCCAGAUUGAUGUGCCUAUGUCUAAAAAAUGAAGAGUGCAAUAUUUCUUUUCCUUGAAAGCAGUUGUUAUAUUGUUAUUGUCUUAUUGAUUUUUAAUGGUAUUGACACACACAAAUAGCGAUGGUAGUCAAUUUGCACGGAGAGUCUUCAUCCGUUUCUUCCUAAUCAUCAAAAUUAUAGAUCCACUGGUUACGAAGAAUAAGGGCGGCGGAACAAGUCUAGUAUACCAAUGAAGGCCGUCAGUAAAAUAUUGUUCGCCACGUUUCUGCAAAUUAAUGGAAGAAGACGAAUUUUUUUGAAGGAUCCCGUAAAGUUUGUGAGAUUGUGCUGGAUAUCUCUAUUUGAGGCAUAGUCACUGAUAUUGUUAAGACUCGGUUGUCUUACUGAUGAGUCUGAAUGCUUGGAUGCGACUGACUAGAUUUUUUUUUCGAACUAUCAAUGAAAAUAUUAAUGUAUUAGGAAAGGGAAAUGGAAAGAGAGGAAUUUAAGUAAAAAGUACCUGGAACAGAAAAGCAAUAUUCUUAUUGGUAUUGUGUGCAUAGUCCGUUCGAAAUGUUUGACCAAUCUCAUGCGUCGUCCUUUGUCCUGAAGACCGUGUGGAUCCAUGAGUAUUGCAUUGAUAUUUGAAAGGUAGGAGCUAGACAAACCCUUGAGAAUCAACGUACGAAUACCAAUUAGCUUUUAUAAAACGAUCUAUCACCACUGUUCAACUAUUUACUUAUUUUUAUACCUCCAUUAUUCUGAGAGAAGAGAGAGAGAGCGAGGGAAGAGGAGAGAGAGAGAGAGAUUAGGCGUGUCCUUUCUAAUCUUUUUUCGCAAGUUCGACGUUCAAUCAUUAACGCGUAUCUUUAUGAAUGACGAACUUAGAAGAUUAAACAGCGAUUAUUAAUAAAUAUGAAUGCAAACAUUUUGUGUGUAUUUAAAUAUAUAUAUACACACUUCCAUAUAUGUACAUAUAUGUAUAUACAUACAUACAUAAAUCGCAGUAAAAAAAUGAUACUCGAUUUUUCGAUCCUUAACUAAAGAAUAUAGAACGUUUAGAUCUUAGUCAGUUAAAGAAGAAAAAAGAAAUAACUAAGAAACAACUGAUAAUAGGAUCGACAAAAAUUAAAAGGGCUUUGAAGUAUAUACUAUGUUUAUUUUUCUAAUUCUCUUAUAAAAAAAAGUUAUGAAGAAAAAAAAAUGCAUACGUACACAGAUACACGAAGCCACAUAAAAAAAUCUCUCUUUCGUAUUGUUUCCGAAUUUUUGAAAAAGCUGUAUUUUUUUUUUAAAAAUCUUGUUAAAAAAUUUUUAUUCUUAUUUGUAUUUUCCGAGAAUAGUUCAUGCACGAAUAAAAACAUUUUUCAAAAAUUCGGAAACAAUACGCGAUAGAUUAAAUCUUCGUUUUUAAAAUGAGACCUUGUUCAUUAAAAUUGGACAAGAAUUGUGUCUGUGCUUAUUGAUGGUGUAAAUCAUUAUAAAGUCAGGGGUAAUAAAUAAUCCUAAUUUCAAUUUAAAAUCAGUUUAAACUAACCUUUAAAAUGUAUAGUUUUGUACUUUUUCCUCAUGCUUUUAAAUUUGACAAGGCCGUACUUUGGCCAAUAUUUUACUGUUUUGUAUUUUAGAUCACUAUUCAACAUUAGUUUUUCCUGUAAAUGAUUAUACUCAAGAAUUCCUUUGAUCGAGGUUGAAAUCAGAUAUAUUACUUUGAUCGUCUGUUUCACAUCUUUCCGUAUCAUGUUCACAAAUAUAAUCAUUUACGUGAUCAAUAAUCCAACAUCAUUGAUUACUGUGUUCUUCAAGAGAAGGAAUACGAUUAUGAUCGAGUUAUAAAUCAAAGAGACUAAUUUGAUGUAAAUGUUAAAACCACAUGAAACACAGAAAAAAUGGAGCAAGCAGAUCUCUUGAAAGUUUUCGAAUUCGUUGAUGAAAACUUUUUUAGUGUUUAAUGCUCUAAUUGUUAGUAAAUUUUGAAGCGCUGCGUUAAUAUGAUACGGGUGAUUAAGCUUUUGGAAAUAAGAAGAUAAUCAAUUAAUGAGAAAACUUAAACAUUAGCAUUACACUAAUCUACUUAUUUCUUUCAAAUGUUUAACUUUAUAAUUGAUAUAAAAAUCUAGAAGAAGCCAAUGAGUUUAUGCUUCCUAUUAUUAUUAUCGUUAUCAGUCCAAUACUAAGAAUUAUAAAAUAAGACAUACUGUAUCAAGGACACCAGUAUUUUUGAAAAAUUUUAAAGAAGGCUAAAAAUUUAUUGACGUUGAAAAAGAAUAUUCAAUAAAUUUAUCUAUCUGAGAUACGACUAAGCAUAUAAUUCUAUGAAAUAUGCUGGCAUGCAGUUUUCUGGAAGCGUGUAAUCAAACUCUAUAGUAAAAAAACAUUUAUAAAAACCAUUGUUUUAAAGUUGUUAGCCCGCUACAGACAUAAAUUAUUUUCAUGUAAUCCAACGAUCCUUUCCAUGCAAAUAGAGGUCAAAUUUGUUUCCUCGAUGUUGGCACUACUGAUUGCUAUUCGUAAAAAAAUUAAGAGUAUAACCAUCAAUAGCAACAAAACAUUCCUACUCGUCUUGAAAUAAAAGACGUAAGGCUUAAUAGACCUAUGACCUUUACCAUAUCAACAAGUGCCAAUGUUUUCGUAGAUAAUCCAUUUAUAUUUUUAAUUACUAUGCCUUUCAAAUCUUCGAUCUCCCCUCCAUACGUGGAUUCUUCAUUCUUUUCGAGUUCCAUUUUCUCUAUCAUAAAUUUGAUGAAGCCAACACUGGAAGCUUGGAGACUAUUAAAAUUCAGAUUUCUGUACACCGCUCUAAACUAAGCCAUGCAAUCAUUUGACCUGUACACUAUAGAAACUGCAACUAAUGCGU